CCGACGCCGGGGUCUCGGGGGCCCAGCCGCUCUGCAGUGCCUGGGCCUGGUGGGAGCGCGCAGCCGCAUUCUCCGUUGACCUUAAUCAGAAAAAGCCAAGCGUUUGUGCCGCGCGGGCAGUGGAAAGUGUCAGUUGAGCCGGCACUGACUCUGAUUCUGCCUGGCUGCACCGCUUGACUUCUGCACAGCGGCUUUCAGGCAGUAGAAUCCCAGUUUGCUGCCCAGGCCCUGACCUGUGAGAGAAGCCCAUCCUCCUGGAGGAAGGGGGGCUUUUUCUAAGGUACUUGAAGAUGCCCUCCUACCUAGAGCAGCCUGCAGUGGUAACCAGAGCCCACGUGACCCCGCCCUGAUGGAGCUUGGAUUGAGGUGGGAAGAUGUAAUGAGGAAAUAAGCAGACUCAAAGGAUUGAGCAAAUGAAUACAUGUAUUUUGUUGGGAACCAGAGUUCUCACCGUGUAUGAAAUGGGGAGAGUGAGGAAGACUCCUGUGGUGUUGGAUUGGAACUACAAUAUUAAAAGAAUGUGAACUCUUUUCUUUUAAAAAUAUGUAUUUCGUCACUGUCCACUGAAAGAGCCUAAGAGCAAAGAUGCCCCAGUAGCAAUGAACACACCUAAAACCAGAUCUGCUUUCUAAAUACCAUUUCCCAUUAAAAGUAACCAGGGCUCCUUGGAGAAAAGAUCAGUUCCAGGUUUGGGGCCAAGAAAGGACAAAGUAAGCCUGAAAUGUCUUAUUGAGAGAGAAAGUAAGAAAGUGCACAAAAGCUGAUGGAUUUAUGUCAAAAGGCUACAGGAACCAGCUUGAAUUUGGCCAAAUUUGUGAAGAUUUGAAUAUCAAAAAUCAUCAUGGCUGGAAUGGCUUUUGACACAUUAAUUUUUAAAAAAUUCCUUGUUGAUGCAAGAAUUUUAAAGCUCUUUACAGAAGAAUGUUAAGAGGUAAAUGUAAAAUGUAUAGUAAAUUUAGAAGAAAUCACCAGGCAGGACUCAUCAGUGAUAUUAAAACCAAUGGAUGAAAAAUUUUGGGGGAACAGAAUAGUCAUUCAGUCUCAAACUAGCACUCCAUGAAUAGCUUAUUCAUUACAAAAGCGAAAAUGUACCUUUGCAUAGGGUAAACCUGGCAGUACCAGGUUAACCAAAUGACCAAAUGUAACACUGGUAAUGGGCCACACUAGGGUCACGAGCUUCUGGAUGUGAUGUGCUCAAAAUACAUUCCUGAUGUUCCUGCAAAAAAAAAUGCUUAUCCUGCAUCCAAUAGGAGGGAACAACUUUCAAACCCAAAAAAGGGAUAUUCUGCUGAACAACUCUCCUGGCUCUUCAAAAAUAUCUAUGCCAUGAAAAAAAUGAGACUGUUUAGAAUAAAAGAGACAUGUAGUGUAUGAUCCUGAAUUCAGUGCUGGACGAGAAAAAGACAGAAUCCCAGGACAUUAUUGAGUCAAUUGUAGAAAUUUGAAUAUGACUCAGUAUGAAAGAAAUAGUGCUAUAUCAGUGUUAAAGUACCCAAGAAUGAUUGUUUUGUAAUUAUGGAGGAAAAUGCUGUAGGAAUACAUGUGUGUAUUUGACAUUUUAUUUCCUUAUGAUGUUUUACUAUUUAAAUUUUUUACUUUGAAAAAUGUCAGCCAUUUAGAAGAAUGAACACUGAUGGAGGAGGGUAGGGUUAGGGGGUGGAGAGGCAGGGUAGAGAGAGAGAGAGAGAGUGAAAAUGUGGGAAAAUUAUAAUUGGUGAAUCUAAGGGAAGAGCAUGUAAGUGUUCAUUUUUCUAAAUGACAAACUUUUCAAAAAAUUUUUCAAGAGUAAAACAUGAUAGAAAUAUGUUGAAUAGUUUAAAAAAAAACAUUGAAGAGGUAAUUGGGAGGAUUUUCUGCAGAGUGAGGAUGAGAGAUUGAGCAUGCCACUUAGUUUUCUGCCUUACAUGAGUGGGUGAAUGAUAAGGUCAUUAUUUAAGGUCAAAAACAGAAUAAGAAUUUAAUUUAAGGAGCAGGAUGAUUAGCUGAGUUUUGAUCUUGUUGACUUUGAAGUGUUCAUGGCCCAACCAAAUGAAAUACAGAUAUGGAAGUCAGACCUUAGGGGAAAGGUCAGAGCUAAAGCAGGCAGAGCUAAAUUAUCAGCAUGGAAAGGGUAAAGAUGCAGCAUCAAUGAGACCUUAAAGAAAGAGAAGAGCAAUGAGCUAUGGGAUUCAAGGGAAUUCUGAUGUUUAAAGCAGUUCUUAAUCUAGGCAUCAAGGAGUCUGGGAGACCCUAGCAUUUCCCAGUAUCUAAUUCACUUCCUUUCUGAGUAGGUAGCUAACUGUGUUUCUCAGCUUCUCCCAGCUCUGGGUGAAAUCAUAUGACCAAGCUCUGGCCAAUGGGCCAAUGGAAUGGAGGCAGGAAGCCUCUCCUGUCUCUAGGUGACAGCACAUGACCAAGCUCGCUCACUCAUCCUGAUUUCCCAUCUACGCAGCUGGAAGCUGAAGACUUUGAGACUGUUGAGCCACGUGAUGGUAGAAGGGGGAUCCCUGAAUCAUGCUUGGAGGAGAGCUCCCUAGGAGAACAUUGGUAUUGGAAUUUGCCCAAUCAGGAAAUCAGCCUUGGUUGUGCCAGUCCAUUAAGAUUUGGGGGUUGCUUGUUGUUUCUUGAAGCUGAUGGAAUUCCUUAUAAAGGACAUAGUUUCUCUGGGAGAAAGGUCUUUUUAAUCUGGGAGAAAGGCUCCUUUAUUUUCUAAGGAGUCUGAGUUUCCAGAAGAAAUAACAGGACAGGCACAGAUGGAGGAUCCAGAGAGAAAUUAAAGAAGGAGCAAAGAGGCAUAAGGAGAAACUCAAGAGAUUAAUGUCAGAGAACCCGGGUAAGCAGAGUUGCAAGGACCAAGUGGUCUGCAGCAUGGAAGGUGGCGGCGACGUCCAGAAAGCGCUGAGGAGUGUCUCUUAGACUGGAGAACUAGUGGGUCAUUCUUGACCUUGGCAGAAGCAGUAAGUUGAGCCGUAAAUGGGGAGUAAGGAAAUAGAGAGGGUAGGAAAUUACUAUAAAAACUUGUCUCCAUAAGCAGAAAUUAUCACAAAUUGUAAAUCAACUAUACUUCAAUAAAACUUAAAAAAAUGAAAAAGUAGAA